AUGGGUUGUUGGAGCCUCAAGCACUUGCCUGCCGUUGCUAAGCAAUGUCCCAAAGUAGACUACGAGAAGGAAUGGUGGGGCAGCUUGGAGUGGGACGAGGGGGGUGCCAACCACCACCCUUCGCUCUACAAGUUGGGGCACUCAAGGUACUACAAGAAGGCCCAGCAGCCUAGAGGCACCGUACUCAGGUGA
rnacentral:rRNA from 1 species